rnacentral:lncRNA from 1 species
CCGUUUAUGCAAUGAGUGCAUUUUCUCAUGGUCCUGAUUUGACUUCCCACAGACGAGACUUAAGUGUAUCUGCAAUAUCCCAGUGAAUCAUCAAAAUAAGCCUGUCACAGAGAAACGGCGAUACCAGAUGUAAUACCUCUUGAGAUAUAACUCUGCUGGUGUGAGUCUUCACCUAGAAGCCUCUAGAAAUGGAGCGGCUCAACCCCGGAUGACACUAAUAACCAGCCAAACACCCUGCAAAUUGGACUCGGAGCAUAUUGCCGUCGUUUCAUGGCUGCUUGAAGCAGUCGCUGCCAUUGAAGGAAGCAGCCACACACUCGCACACCCCUCAAAUCAGCUAACCUAUCUCGGGAGCAGGGUGAGGAAGGUGACCGCAGACACUUCUGAAGAGAAAAGCGUUACCCUGCCUUGUUCCCGGGUGCCCGCAUCUGUCCAGCAGCACGGUGGUGAAGCAACUUUGUACUUUGUCUCAGCCCUAGUUCUCCUGGUUUGGUACAACUGGACAUAUUUGGAAGACCUCCAUUCUUCUUCCUUUGUCCUACCCAGCUACCUGAUAUCGUCUGGAAAUAAAGCUAAGAGGCAGGAUUGGUCUCAAGACUAGCGCUGGUGUUUCAGUUCCUGGAAAAAAAAAAAAGUUUGCAUGGUAGAGAACAGUGGCUACAGAUGACUACUUGUCCAAAACAUAUAGACGGAAAUGUUACAGAAGAGCAACCAUCUGGAAAACUGUUGAAGAAAAAAAGAAAGAAUGGUAGAAUAAGCAUUUAAUCAACGUGCAGCUUUUAAAACAGAAACCUUAAAGAGUCUACACUUCUUAGAUUCAAGACUAUGUCAGCACAUUACAGAGACGUAUCAGCUUCGGUCUGUUACACUGAUGUCUGCUGUGUCCACUUUUAACCGCAUUUAAUAAAACCCUCUUUUAAUUUCCUGAUGGCCA